rnacentral:tRNA from 1 species
ACCUGGCUGGCUCAGUUGGUGGAGCGCUUGACUCUUGAUCUUGGGGUUGUAGGUUCGAGCCCCACGCUGGGGG